rnacentral:rRNA from 1 species
AGAGUUUGAUCAUGGCUCAGGAUGAACGCUAGCGGCAGGCCUAACACAUGCAAGUCGAGGGGCAGCACAUAAAUAGCUUGCUAUUUUGGUGGCGACCGGCGCACGGGUGCGUAACGCGUAUGCAACCUACCUUAUACAGGGGUAUAGCCCGGAGAAAUUCGGAUUAAUCCCCCAUGGUAUUAUUGAUUGGCAUCGAUUAAUAAUUAAAGUUUCGGCGGUAUAAGAUGGGCAUGCGUCCUAUUAGCUAGAUGGUGAGGUAACGGCUCACCAUGGCAACGAUAGGUAGGGGGCCUGAGAGGGUAGUCCCCCACACUGGUACUGAGACACGGACCAGACUCCUACGGGAGGCAGCAGUGAGGAAUAUUGGUCAAUGGGCGCAAGCCUGAACCAGCCAUGCCGCGUGAAGGAAGAAGGUUCUAUGGAUUGUAAACUUCUUUUAUUUAGGAAUAAACCCCUGGUCGAGCAUCAGGGCUGAAGGUACUAAAUGAAUAAGCACCGGCUAACUCCGUGCCAGCAGCCGCGGUAAUACGGAGGGUGCAAGCGUUAUCCGGAAUCAUUGGGUUUAAAGGGUCCGCAGGCGGAUUUAUAAGUCAGUGGUGAAAUCCUGCAGCUCAACUGCAGAACUGCCAUUGAUACUGUAAGUCUUGAAUUUGAUCGGAGUGGGCGGAAUGUGUAGUGUAGCGGUGAAAUGCAUAGAUAUUACACAGAACACCGAUAGCGAAGGCAGCUCACUAGGUUAUAAUUGACGCUCAUGGACGAAAGCGUGGGGAUCAAACAGGAUUAGAUACCCUGGUAGUCCACGCCGUAAACGAUGAUUACUCGUUCUUGAUAGCAAUAUCAGGGACCAAGCGAAAGUGAUAAGUAAUCCACCUGGGGAGUACGAUCGCAAGGUUGAAACUCAAAGGAAUUGACGGGGGCCCGCACAAGCGGUGGAGCAUGUGGUUUAAUUCGAUGAUACGCGAGGAACCUUACCAGGGCUUAAAUGCAGAUUGCAUAAUUUGGAAACAGAUUAGUCUUCGGACAAUUUGCAAGGUGCUGCAUGGCUGUCGUCAGCUCGUGCCGUGAGGUGUUGGGUUAAGUCCCGCAACGAGCGCAACCCUUGUCAUUAGUUGCUACGAAAGGGCACUCUAAUGAGACUGCCGGUGACAAACCGGAGGAAGGUGGGGAUGACGUCAAGUCCUCAUGGCCCUUAUGGGUAGGGCUUCACACGUCAUACAAUGGUCGGUACAGAGGGCUGCCAACCCGCAAGGGGGAGCCAAUCCUUUAAAACCGAUCGUAGUCCGGAUUGAGGUCUGCAACUCGACCUCAUGAAGUCGGAAUCGCUAGUAAUCGCGGAUCAGCAUGUCGCGGUGAAUACGUUCCCGGGUCUUGUACACACCGCCCGUCACACCAUGGGAGCGGGUUUUACCAGAAGUAGCUAGCCUAACCGCAAGGAGGGCGGUUACCACGGUAGGAUUCGUGACUGGGGUGAAGUC